AACGAACGCUGGCGGCAUGCCUAACACAUGCAAGUCGAACGAGAUCUUCGGGUCUAGUGGCGCACGGGUGCGUAACGCGUGGGAAUCUGCCCUUUGGUUCGGAAUAACAGUUGGAAACGACUGCUAAUACCGGAUGAUGACGAAAGUCCAAAGAUUUAUCGCCAGAGGAUGAGCCCGCGUAGGAUUAGCUAGUUGGUGUGGUAAAGGCGCACCAGGGCGACGAUCCUUAGCUGGUCUGAGAGGAUGAUCAGCCACACUGGGACUGAGACACGGCCCAGACUCCUACGGGAGGCAGCAGUGGGGAAUAUUGGACAAUGGGCGAAAGCCUGAUCUAGCAAUGCCGCGUGAGUGAUGAAGGCCUUAGGGUUGUAAAGCUCUUUUACCCGGGAUGAUAAUGACAGUACCGGGAGAAUAAGCUCCGGCUAACUCCGUGCCAGCCGCCGCGGUAA
rnacentral:rRNA from 1 species